rnacentral:misc_RNA from 1 species
AAGUCGUAACAAGGUUUCCGUAGGUGAACCUGCGGAAGGAUCAUUAUUGAAUAAACUUGGUUGGGUUGUUGCUGGCUUUUCGGAGCAUGUGCACACCUAGCACCAUUUUUUACCACCUGUGCACAUUUUGUAGACUUGAAACACCUCUUGGGGAAACUCAGUUUGAGGAAUGCCCUUAGUGGCUUUCCUUGCGUCUCAAGUCUAUGUUUUUUUAUAUACCCCAUAAGAAUGUAAUAGAAUGUCAUUAAUGGGCUUAUGCCUUUAAAUUAAUACAACUUUCAACAACGGAUCUCUUGGCUCUC